AUGUACAUUCCUACAACAUAGAGUUAAUGCACUGGAUCCCAUUAGAACUCCGUAGUUAAGCGUGUUCAAUAUAGAGUAGUACUGGGAUGGGUAAUUGCCCGAGAAGUCCUAGUGUUUUACAUG
rfam:Picea glauca, whole genome shotgun sequence.